rnacentral:sRNA from 1 species
AUCAGGCGUGGUGGUGCACGCCUGUAAUCCCAGCAUCUCAUGAGGCUGAGGCAGGAGGAUCAUGAGUUCAAAGCCAGCCUCAACAAAAGCAAGGCACUAAGCAACUCAGUGAGACCCUGUCUCUA